rfam:Alligator mississippiensis ScZkoYb_36, whole genome shotgun sequence.
CUAACACAUGCGCGAGUCAGAGGCUCGAACGAAAGCCCGUGGCGCAAUGAAGGUGAGGGCCGGUGCAUGCCGGCUGAGGUGGGAUCCCAAGGCCACUGUUUGCGGUGGGCACACCACCAGCCCGUCUCAUCCACCCUGUUGGGGAGGCGGAGCAUGAGCGUAUGUACUAGGACCCGAAAGGUGGUGAACUAUGCCUGGGCAGGGCGAAGCCAGAGGAAACUCUGGUGGAGGUCAGUAGUGGUCCUGACAUGCAAAUCGGUCAUCCGACCUGGGUAAAGGGACAAAAGACUAAUCGAACCAUCUAGAAGCUGG